AUUGUACUUGUAGUCACAGAACCAAAGAGAGUACCCCUCGGGGUCGUACAUAUCCCAAAAUCCUUUGAUAGCAACUUCCCUAAAGUUAGUUUUUGUAUUUGAAUAUAGCCUCUUCCACUCGUCCAGAAUCAUCGGGCUCGGAGGCAGUAGAUCGAGAGGGUUUUUUGGCUUGGGUUUUGGCGCCUCCUCUUCCUCCUCUCCCACCACCA
rnacentral:misc_RNA from 1 species